rnacentral:rRNA from 1 species
UACGGGGGGGGUAAGCGUUGUUCGGAAUUACUGGGCGUAAAGGGCUCGUAGGCGGCCAACUAAGUCAUACGUGAAAUCCCUCAGCUUAACCGGGGAACUGCGUCUGAUACUGGAUGGCUUGAGAUUGGGAGAGGGAUGCGGAAUUCCAGGUGUAGCGGUGAAAUGCGCAGAUAUCGGGAAGAACACCCGUGGCGAAGGCGGCUCUCUGGGACGGUACUGACGCUGAGACGCGAAAGCGUGGGGAGCGAACAGG